rnacentral:lncRNA from 1 species
AUGCCUGCAGAAACUUGUGCUAAAGAUUUCAUUUUUAUGGUGUUUCAAGAGGCAUCACGAAACGAUGUCAAACGCGUGGUAUUAUCAAUCAAUGCAAGAAUUUGAGGUUGUUUGUAAACCCCAGUUUCAAAGUUUCAAACGGGUAAUUUUUUUAUUCAUCUAGUGGUAGUCUCCUCAAAAUUCUCACUGUACGUUGGAGCUCUGUUUUGGGUGAAAGAACAAUACGUAUUAAUAUCCAACUGAUGAUGGUUCAGAGAAUACGCAUAGUCUGAAGAUGAAUGAUAUGAUUGUUGUGAGAAUUGGGUUGAGAAUUUUGUUGCAGAUGAUUGAUUUUGGAAUUAGGGUUUGGGGUUUGAAGAUGAAUUGGGGUUGAAGAUGAAUUGAGGGUGUUAUUAGGGUUUUAAAAAGGGAAACACAAGUGGGGGAGGGGAAAUGACCGUUCUACCCUCAUGUGCAAGACACAUGACCAUAUUUAACCAAAAAAUUUGACUGGGUUAGGGCUAAAGGACAUAACGUGCAAGAUUUUAAAACAUUAAGGACAAAAGUCAUCAAUUUUAAAGGUAAAGGACAGCGCCUGCAAUUUGCUACAAAUAUAAAGGACAAAACUUGUAAUUUACUCUUAUAAUUUAGUUGUGGAACCCACCUACAAUCUGGUUAUCUUCAACCUUCACUUACCAUCGCCACCAACAAAGCAUCUUCAUCCUCAACCUACCACCCACAACCAUCAACAACCUCCACCACAACCGCCACCUCCAUUCCUUUUUUCAUUCUCUGCACUCAAACGUCAACACACACGUCAUCAUACAUCCGUCUUCCUUCACUUCAAUCCAGAUUGGAAACUGUACGAUACCGUACCGAUCCAGUCCGCCUUUUAUACACCCAGCCAAACCCGCCUUCUCCGAUGAGACUAUCUGACUGGAUAUUCUUUGUAGCGGUCUUCAGGUUGCUCAACAUAAACGCUUCAGAUUGUUAGUGAUCGAAAACUUUCUUUUGCAGAUGCUUUUGAAGCUUUCUUGAUUUUCUUCUUACUUGCUUCUUAUUUUCUUUCCUGUUGGUUAAUUGCAUCCUCUGUAAUAACAAGAUUUGAUAAUAUCACAAACCCAUAUCAUAUUUGUUAAUAAAGAUUAUAAAGUUUAGAUUUUUAAUGAAAGAUUUUAAUAAAAUCAUAAACCCAGAUGAUAUUUUUUUUAAAAAAAAAUUGUAAAUUUUAGAUAUUGAAAAAGAGAGUAUACACAUCCUCUGGAAGAAACAUGAGCAACAAAGCCCAUGAAUCAUACAACCAGAAUAUGGGUUUGUUGUGAGAAAUCAACAAGAUU